UACGGAGGGUGCGAGCGUUGUCCGGAAUCACUGGGCGUAACGGGCGCGUAGGCGGCCUGGUAAGUAGGGGGUGAAAUCCUGCGGCUUAACCGCAGGGCUGCCUUCUAAACUGUCAGGCUCGAGCACGGUAGAGGCAGAUGGAAUUCCCGGUGUAGCGGUGGAAUGCGUAGAGAUCGGGAAGAACAUCAGUGGCGAAGGCGGUCUGCUGGGCCGUUGCUGACGCUGAUGUGCGAAAGCUAGGGGAGCAAACGGG
rnacentral:rRNA from 1 species